AGAGUUUGAUCCUGGCUCAGGAUGAACGCUAGCGGGGAGUAAUACAUGCAAGUCGUACGGUAACAGGUGUAGCAAUACAUGCUGACGAGUGGCGCACGGGUGAGGAACACGUACACAAUCUGCCUUUGACUGGGGGAUAGCCCUGGGAAACUAGGAUUAAUACCCCAUAAUAUUGUGAAGAGGCAUCUCUUUACAAUUAAACCUCCGGGGGUCAAAGAUGAGUGUGCGUCUGAUUAGGUAGUUGGUAGGGUAACGGCCUACCAAGCCAACGAUCAGUAGCUGGCGUGAGAGCGCGACCAGCCACACGGGCACUGAGACACGGGCCCGACUCCUACGGGAGGCAGCAGUAGGGAAUAUUGGACAAUGGCUGAAAAGCUGAUCCAGCCAUCCCGCGUGAAGGCAGAAGGUCCUAUGGAUUGUAAACUUCUUUUCUCUGGGAAGAAAACCUCUUAUUCUUAAGAGACUGACGGUACCAGAGGAAUAAGCACCGGCUAACUCCGUGCCAGCAGCCGCGGUAAUACGGAGGGUGCAAGCGUUAUCCGGAUUCACUGGGUUUAAAGGGUGCGUAGGCGGGCUUGUAAGUCAGUGGUGAAAGCCCGGAGCUCAACUCCGGAACUGCCGUUGAUACUGCAAGUCUUGAGUACACUUGAGGUGGGCGGAAUACAUCUGUAGUGGUGAAAUACUUAGAUAUGAUGUAGAACACCGAUUGCGAAGGCAGCUCACUAAAUUGUAACUGACGCUGAGGCACGAAAGCGUGGCAAACAGGAUUAGAUACCCUAGUAGUCC
rnacentral:rRNA from 1 species